AUUGAACGCUGGCGGCAGGCUUAACACAUGCAAGUCGAGCGAGCGGCGGACGGGUGAGUAAUGUCUGGGAAACUGCCUGAUGGAGGGGGAUAACUACUGGAAACGGUAGCUAAUACCGCAUACCAUCAGAUGUGCCCAGAUGGGAUUAGCUAGUAGGUGGGGUAAUGGCUCACCUAGGCGACGAUCCCUAGCUGGUCUGAGAGGAUGACCAGCAACACUGGAACUGAGACAAGGUACAGACUCCUACGGGAGGCAGGAGUGGGGAAUAUUGGACAAUGGGGGCAAGCCUGAUGAAGCCAUGCGGCGAGGGUGAAGAAGGCCUUAGGGUUGUAAAGCACUUUCAGCGAGGAGGCGGUAGUCGCAGAAGAAGCACCGGCUAACUACGUGCCAGCAGCCGCGGUAAUAC
rnacentral:rRNA from 1 species